GUAGGGUGCGAGCGUUAAUCGGAAUUACUGGGCGUAAAGCGUGCGCAGGCGGUUGGGUAAGACAGAUGUGAAAUCCCCGGGCUUAACCUGGGAACUGCAUUUGUGACUGUCCGACUGGAGUAUGUCAGAGGGGGGUGGAAUUCCAAGUGUAGCAGUGAAAUGCGUAGAUAUUUGGAAGAACACCGAUGGCGAAGGCAGCCCCCUGGGGCAAAACUGACGCUCAUGCACGAAAGCGUGGGGAGCAAACAGGAUUAGAUACCCUGGUAGUCCCGCCCUAAACGAUGUCUACUGGUUGUUGGAGGGUAAACCUNCANUACGAACUAACNCGUGAGUAAACCCCUGGGAGUACGUCNCAGAUAAAACUCA
rnacentral:rRNA from 1 species